GACUUCGUAGUCUAAAAAGGACCUAGCACUGAAGUUGCUAUAGUAUUUUAUUUAAUCCUAGUCA
rnacentral:tRNA from 1 species